ensembl:misc_RNA Metazoa_SRP Metazoan signal recognition particle RNA
GCUGGGUGUGGUGGCUCAUGCCUGUAAUCCCAGCACCGUGGGAGGCUGAGGUGGGUGAAUCACUUGAGGCCAGGAGUUCUAGACCAGCCUGGCCAACAUGGUGAAACCCCGUCUCUA